rnacentral:hammerhead_ribozyme from 1 species
ACCCAGCUGACGAGUCUCAAGCAGGACGAAACACACAUCCUGGAU